GCUGAGGGAUAGCUCAGCUGAUAGAGCAUGAGACUCUUAAUCUCAGAGUUAUGGGUUCGAGUGAAAGAUUCCUACAUUGCAGUG